GCGCACCAGUCGCGAAUACUUUACAAUGUGCGAAAGCACGAUAAGGGAACUCUGAGUGCCUCCUAAGGAGGCUGUUCAGGUGCCUAAAAAGCACCUGAAGGAAGGGCUGGGUAAGACCGGUGCCAGCCGCCGCGGUAACACCGGCAGCCCAAGUGGUAGCCACGUUUAUUGGGUCUAAAGCGUCCGUAGCCGGCUGGGUAAGUUCCUUGGGAAAUUUGGCUGCUUAACAGUCAAGCUUUCAGGGAAUACUGCCCGGCUUGGGGACCGGGAGAGGUCAGAGGUACUCCAGGGGUAGGGGUGAAAUCCAUUAAUCCUUGGGGGACCACCGGUAGCGAAGGCGUCUGACCAGACCGGGUCCGACGGUGAGGGACGAAGGCUAGGGGCGCGAACCGGAUUAGAUACCCGCGUAGU
rnacentral:rRNA from 1 species